rnacentral:rRNA from 1 species
GGAAGGAGAAGUCGUAACAAGGUUUCCGUAGGUGAACCUGCGGAAGGAUCAUUGUCGUGACCCUGACCAAAACAGACCGUGAACGUGUCAUCUUGCCUGCCAGCGGCGGCCCUGNCCGUCGCUUGGCCAAAGUCCUCGAUAACCUCCUCUCCUUGGAGCGGGGGCUCGGGGUAAAAGAACCCACGGCGCCGAAGGCGUCAAGGAACACUGUGCCUAACCCGGGGAAGCGGCUGGCUUGCUAGCUGCCCCUCGUGUUGCAAUGCUAUUUAAUCCACACGACUCUCGGCAACNGGAUAUCUCGGCUCUCGCAUCGAUGAAGNAACGUAGCGAAAUGCGAUACCUGGUGUGNAAUUGCAGAAUCCCGCGAACCAUCGAGUCUUUGAACGCAAGUUGCGCYCGAGGCCACUUGGCCGAGGGCACGCCUGCCUGGGCGUCACGCCAAACACGCUCCCACCCCUCAUCGGGUGGUGGGAUGCGGCAUGUGGCUCYCCGUCUUGCAAGGGGCGGUGGGCCGAAGAUGCGGCUGCCGGCGUAUCGUGCCGGACACAGCGCGUGGUGGGCGAACUCGCUUUACUUACCGCAGUGCAUCCGCCCAUAGCCGACGUGAUGGCCUUAAGGACCCUAUGAACGGAGCGCAUGACGCUCUGACCGCGACCCCAGGU